GGGCUAUCUGUUUUUUUCAUCUGGGCUGCAGACUGAGCUGAAAAGGACACGAGCAUGUUCUACGGGCAGUCCACAGGCCAGUCUUCAGAGGCUAGUGUACACAGGGAGUCCAGCGAUUCUCACCAACACUGCACAUGUCACGCUGGGGGGACACAGAAAGAGAUGUGCUGUCUAGAGGUCUCCUCCUGAAAUGCUGGUUGCUAAGCAACAAGAU
rfam:Microcebus murinus cont1.223972, whole genome shotgun sequence.